GUCACGAGGUAAGCAUAAUAACUACACUCGUGAGGGUUCGUUUAACCCCUGCUCCUCAGCAAUCAAACCGCUCAACCCUGGCACUGGCACUGCUAGGAAGUCACGAGGUAAGCGAAAUACCUACACUCGUGAGAGUCCUUGUAACUCCCGCUCUUCAGCUAUCAAACCACUCAUCCCUGGCACUGAUCCUGCCAGGAAGUCACAGAGGAAAGUGAACUUUCACUCUCAUGAAAGUGGGCCUCAUCACGGCUCCACCCACACUUUAAGGCCACUCUUCCCUGACAUUGACCGUGUCUGGAAAACUAGAGGUAAGCCGAUUAAUCGCACUCACGAAGAAACGCCUUACUAUGGCUUCAGAGAUAAGCCCCGUCCAACAUACGCGCAUUGGGCACUCCGCCAUAACACCCAUCCCACUUACUGGUCUGCCCCAAGAAGGAGAUGUACCCAGUCCUAUUCACCCGGCCUAUUUCCCCAGGUUUCCAGAAUUGCCCCUUCCACGUGGCAAUCCGCCUGCGGACAGAACAUAGGCGACAGCGGACCCUUAAGACGGACACCCCUCUGGACCUUGGCAACCUCUUAACUACUGGGAAAAUUUUCUUAAAUGCUACGACCGACAGUAGACGAAACUUGAGUGAUAUCAACGUUAGCACGUGAUAGAUCUUUUAACAAAGACCUAUCUUACGCAGGGAGGGUUGUGACGAACCGUUUUAGCUCACUCAAGAUAUCACUCAGGUCUAAGCAUUUAAUUAAUUUAUUUACUCGCUAUUAAUCAUCAAUUUUAUUAAUUUAGCCAAUCAAGCGCUAAAAACAUAGCCACCACCCCUCCAAUCCAACCCCACCCCCUUUGGCAGCGAUGUCACAUUUUACUAUCCCCACCUUGACACGUGCCACACUAGACUCUUGACAAGAGUACGCUCCCCUUUUCCCAUCUAUCGUGGCAAACAUCCGUUGACCCCCUCCCCCCCCCCUUCCGGGAGCGGCUGGUCACUUCAAAGUGCCCAUUCAACUCAACGCCUCGGGCAACGCUGUUCGUCUAGCACUAGCCAUUAUCAUAAUAUAAUCUCCCUUGAUGUGCCGAGCUCUGAUAAUCUCCCCUUCAUAAUCCACCUGACCACCUGGGAUGAUUUCCUGGACUUUCAACUCGCGCCUUCGCGCAAUGUCUAUCUCCCGGAAACGCCGUCACGGUCAAGCGAGGAUCUCUUUGUCAAAGACGCCAGAUAGUCUAGACCACCUUUGCACUUGUCUCCCGCCACUCACCCCCCCCCCCUUUCUAUCCACGUGUAUAUGGACAAACUUCGUCGUCCGAUCUCAUUCACGCUGGAGAGCCCACAGGGAGCACAUCUAUCUCUUGCUUGAGCUCUAGACUAUUUUCAUUCCCUUAUUUCACUUUGGAUUGGUGGUAUGUAACUUAGUAAAGUGCUUGAGAACCAUUUUACUUAGUAAUGUAUAUAUGUAUAUUUGUGCAUUUAUUACUACAUUACUUGUGUAUAUAUUUGUGCAUUCUUAUCAUGGAUGAUCUUUUAUCUAUAGGCUACAUCCGCCUGAAAUCUUAGCAACCUAAAGCUGAUAGCAGAUUUGCUGGCACCAGAUCUGUAGACAUCAGACCUACUCAUCCUUCAAGAGUCCAAGUAACAACGCUAGCCACAGACUCGUCACUGGCUUAACUGAUUGGUAGACGCAGCUUAGCUCUGCAACCAUACAAGUUGGACUGCACACGGAGCCUGGAUCCACUACGCCAGCCCACUAGCAGACAGCAUCAGUACCAGCCACACCCGUCUCACCAGUGCAGCACCGGACCAAAAGCUAAGCAACCAGCCUAAUGACACUCAGACCACUUGGUUCUAAUAUCUGAUGAUGAUAGUCUCCUACGUGUAAAUACGCUAGAUCCUAUUCUAGCAACUGUACAGCAUUUCACCUUUCAUUACCUUAUUUUGUAUAAUAAACUGUACAUAAGUUUACAUCUAAAUAUAGUAUUUGUUGCCUGCAUUAUAACGCUGUGCUUGUAGUUUAUAUGUGCAAGUAAGGAUUCUCAAACUAUAAAAUCCCCUAGACACCCAAAACGGCCAAUAUC